GAUUAUCAUCUCUUCUUUUUAUGCUUUUCUUGAACCCCAAAAUUUUCUUAUUGCACAAACGAUCCUCAGAUCUCUGCAUUUGAACCCCAGAAAAUGCCUCAGCACUCCUUUUUGCCAAAAUAAUGAACCCCGACCUCCAUUUUGAACCCCAGUCGCCUGACGAUAACUUGCGAUCGCCAAUAUGAACCCCGUUCUCCAGAAAA
rnacentral:lncRNA from 1 species